GCCUCAGUCUCCCGAGAGCUGGGAUUACAGACAGCAGGACAGAGCUGCUCCUUGUACCGGGACGGACACAGCCCCGAAGGAUGGCCAGGGAGGAAGGCCGGGACUGGGCAGUUCUCAGUGGAGCCAGGGCACGUGGGAGCAGGCUUUUCCACCGCGGCUUCCUCUUGUCCCUGAGCCGUGGAGAAGUUCAAGGCAGCUCUCUCGGGCACCUUCCACUGCGCCCCUCUGUCCCCACCUCUCUGGGGCUGUGGCUGGUUCCUCGGUUCCAGACACGCUUGUGCUUUCCAGACACUUGCUGAGCGUCUUCUGUCUGCUGGGCUGGACCCUGACGUGCUGCAUCGGGGGGAUCCCGUGAAGGCCGGGCUUCCCCCGUCUGCCAGCCGGGCGCACCUACUCUCACGCCCCCGAGCACGGGGACGGUACCAUGGCACCCGGGUAGUCGUGGCGAGGAGGGGAGAGAGCUCAAAUCUGCCUCCGAAGCCAGUAGGUCCUGGGGAGUGGACAGGAAGGGAGAGGCUUCCCAGACAGAAGCUCCUUGUGGACCGGAGGUGGAAAGGGGCUGCUUAAGCUCUUUGGUGCAGGUGUAGACAGUCAUGGUGCGCCUUCUCUGACCUCUUUUGGUGGUGGUGAUCAGGGUCAGAGCAGAGGGCGCGUACUGAGGAGGGGGCACUGAAGGGAGCUGGGCGGGCUUCCCUGAGGCACGUGAACCGGGUCCUGAAGGGAAGGUAGGAGUUUUCCAGGUGCGGGAUAUGUUUCAAAGAGUUGGUCUAGCACGUGUCCUGGGUCCAGGGUCCUGCUCACUUAGCCACUGGGGGUUGGAGAGAGGCCACGGGGGAUACCUGGGAGGCCCCGGCCUUGAGGUUGCACAAGUCCUCCCGGGAGGGCACAGACAGUUCCUAGCAUCCUCUGGAACGAGAGAGGCACUGAGGGAGGAGGGGAAGGAGAGCUGGCCGGGGAAGCCUCACCACAGGGAAUGCAUUGUUUAAUUUUAACACACAUUGCAAUGAUUGUUACAAGAUAAUAUAUGUUCCUUGUGGGAAAAAAAUCCAACAGUAAAGAAUUGUGUAAAAUUAAAGAGUGGAAGCUCAACGUUUGCCCUUCUGCCCAAACUUUCUCCCACUUUCAGGCAUUUGACAGCCCUAAUACGUGCGGCGUCGGAUGCCUGGAUUUUCCUCCCCCGGCAAAGUGGGACCGUAGUAAUACUAUCAUCUUAUUUUACAGCUUGCUUUUCUUUCCUCUCAUUGCUGAUUCAUUCCGUAAAUAUUCCCGAGUACCUACUCUAUGCCAGGCACCGUGUUAGGCUCUGGGAAGAAGUAAAGAUGAAAUCGGGCCAGGAAACGGCUCACGCCCAGACGACCUUAGGGACGGACACCCGGAUAUGUAAACAAACUACAAAUCACAGGUUAUGGCGAGGGCUGCGGAGGAAAGCAGCACAGUCAGAGGAGAAAAGGGGCCUACUCUACGCAGGGCGGCCGGUGACGGCUCUUUGGAAGAGGUGACACUGGAAGUGACGUGGCCAGGGAGGGCAGAGAGCAGCUCGAGAAGCCGUAGGCGGAGGGGAGAGAGAUGACAGUGGGUCCCAAACUCCAGGUUGGUGCGGCUCUGUGAAAACUGCUUGGGUCACACAGUACGAGCCGCAGGAGUCGUUCCAGAUUGCAGGAAACUAAAGCCAAGCCUCGAUAACCACACAGCGUCUGGGGUUCUGCUUUUGCUAGAACGGAUGCUAUGUUGGCAGUCGGUAGAAUCCCCCAAAAGUAUGUGGGUCAGACGAUAGUAUUGUGUUGUGGUUCGUGUUGAUAUUUGCACUGCGGCCGUGCCAGAGACUCCCAUGAAUUUCCGGAUAUGCACACUCCGUACUCACAGUAGGUGAUGCCCUGACUGCAACCGACUAGGCAGCGGUCUGGAUGUACGAAAAUGUAUUCCAUGUAUGCAGAAAAUGCAGACUGUAAGUACAUAAAAUAGAGAGGGAGGAAGAGGAGAAGCGGGGGGUACGCAGAGGGAGAAGGAGGGAAAGCAGGAAGGAGAGAGGAGAAAAGGAAAAAAAAGGGGGGGAGGGAAGAGGAGGGUGCGGCAAGGUGUCCCUCUGUGGGGGAUCGGGGUGAGAUGCAUGAAGGUGACUGGAAAUCCUUGCACUGUUCCUGCGAUUCUUCUGUACAUCUGAAGCUACGUGGACAGAAAGCAUCUGGCAGAAGGAUCGCUGGCAGUCGGGAGCGAGUGAGAAGCUGCCUUCGGAGAAUUCACCCGACUCACCCUCCCGCCAGGUGACAGGACAGCCUGGUCCCCCGUUUGCACGGACACAGAGCAGUGUGAGGCUGCCUCUGAGGCAGAUUAAAAAUCGGCUCUCACUUCACCAGGCAGCCCUUUUACUACUGCCAAGGCCCCGCAUCUCCUCCGAUCCUCCCAGUGUUGCCAUCUGGACCUUUGCUUUGGUAUGGACGGGAAAGUGCAGGGCGCAGACGGGGGCUGCUGGUGUCAAGGACAGGAAGGCGCCUAAGGGGCAGAGGGGCCGCCAAACUGCUGAGCAGGCCUGGGAUGAGGACAGAGCAGGAACUGCUGGGUUUGGGGGCACGGAGGUCACAGCCUCAGUGUGGUGCUGGGAUGGAAGCCUAAUCCAGCAGGUGGAAGGGACGACGGGAGGUGACAUUUUGAGGACAGAGAUCAUACUAACCCCUCCGGGGAGUCUGCCGUGAAGACAGCAGAGAAACGGGCGGUGCUCCUGGUGUUUGCUUAUGGGGAGGAGUCAGAAGAGGGCCAGAGAGCCCGUCAGCAGGAGGGACGCGUCCUCCGAAGGGCGCGGCCUCAGCAUGGGUGCAGACUACUGGCGUCUGCUAAAUCAAGGCUGACCGUGUUGCCGUGCCCAGGACGGCCUCACACGAGGAGCCAGCUGACCACGGCCUGCCCCUUGCUGGCAUUCAGGCACGUGCACCUCCCCGAGAGACCUGUCCUGGUCGCUGUGCCACCUCCAUCAGCUCCGAUUUUACUCUGCUCAAACACCCGCCAUCUGGUUGUUGGUCUCUGCCUGUCCCCUCAGCAGGUCACCCCACAAUGGUGGGGCCCCUGCCCGCUCACCAGGUCCCUCCAGUGCCUGCUUGUUGGGUCGGUUGAUCUUCAACUAUGGAGUUUGUCUUAUUUCUCUC